rnacentral:pre_miRNA from 1 species
CAACUACUCCCUCUGUCCCAAAUUUCUUGUCUUAGAUUUGUCUAGAUACGAAUGUAUCUAAUACUAAAAUGUGACUUGAUACAUCCAUAUCUAGAAAAAUCUAAGACAAGAAUUUUGGGAUGGAGGGAGUACUUU